rnacentral:snRNA from 1 species
GGAUAUGAAGGCAAUCUGGCUGUGAUAUCUCAUUGGUCACUAGGGUUGAUUCAGCUGAUCUGGCUGCCUAGGUGGGUGUCCUCUUCCACUCUCCCAGGUCCAUGUGCAUCCUUCCUGAAGCCUCAUACUCAGUGGAAGAGGACAGUCAUCCCAGAUAGAAGGAAUAGAUCUUUCUUUGGUCUUCAGUAUUGGUUAAGACUCUGGAUCAAGUAGGUCACAUUGAUUUUUUUU